AGUAACGCGUAGGUAACCUACCUCAUUGCGGGGGAUAACUAUUGGAAACGAUAGCUAAUACCGCAUAAGAGAGACUAACGCAUGUUAGUAAUUUAAAAGGGGCAAUUGCUCCACUAUGAGAUGGACCUGCGUUGUAUUAGCUAGUUGGUGAGGUAAAGGCUCACCAAGGCGACGAUACAUAGCCGACCUGAGAGGGUGAUCGGCCACACUGGGACUGAGACACGGCCCAG
rnacentral:rRNA from 1 species